ACCAUUCCCUUCGCUAAGUGACUUGGGGCGGGGCGGGUGCGGGAGCAGGGGGAAUGAGAGGAGAGCUGGGGGAACAGCUCACUCCCUGAGACUCAGAACCCAGUGUCUCAGAAAUGCCAUCCAGUACACCUCCCGCUCUUCUAAAGGCGUCUAUUCGUUCUUAGCAUUCUGGAUCUACCAGAUAAAGAAAGAAUAUAUCAACAAAGACGGGGAAAGACGAAAAUGGUUGUUCAGCGAUCCAUUCAUGUACGUGUAGUUCAUCUCCAAGGCUUCCAAGAAAGCAGCUGCGCACCAAAUCCCUUCCGACGCUGUCUGUAUCUGAGCCUCCUGGGAGAUAAUCCUCUUAAUGGAAUAUUUAAGAAAUCGGAUAUAAAUCACCAACCUUUUAUCUCACCUGAAGAUCCGUCCUCCAUAGGGCGGGUGAUGGCGGAUGGCGCAUACGUCUAUCUACAUACGGAAAUUAAUGAGAAAAACGAACACAGCCUGGCAGAAAGCGGUUGUGUUGAACUUAUCAAUGACAGGCCCUGGGAGACAUGUGAGAGUUGCUUCGGGAUGCCUGAGGAAAGUUCUUCAAGAUGUUAGAAUUUUACUUUAGACAUCCUGGAAUGUAAAUCCAUCCUGAUUCCAAGAGCUUAUCAACACUC